rnacentral:rRNA from 1 species
UACGAAGGGGGCUAGCGUUGUUCGGAAUUACUGGGCGUAAAGGGCGCGUAGGCGGUACUUCAAGUCAGGCGUGAAAGCCCCGGGCUCAACCUGGGAACCGCGCUUGAGACUGGAGAACUAGAGUUCGGGAGAGGAUGGUGGAAUUCCCAGUUUAGAGGUGAAAUUCGUAGAUAUUGGGAAGAACACCGAUGGCGAAGGCAGCCAUCUGGACCGACACUGACGCUGAGGCGCGAAAGCGUGGGGAGCACACAGG